rnacentral:rRNA from 1 species
GAUGAACGCUAGCUACAGGCUUAACACAUGCAAGUCGAGGGGAAACGAUAUUGGAAGCUUGCUUCCGAUAGGCGUCGACCGGCGCACGGGUGAGUAACGCGUAUCCAACCUGCCCACCACUUGGGGAUAACCUUGCGAAAGUAAGACUAAUACCCAAUGAUAUCUCUAGAAGACAUCUGAAAGAGAUUAAAGAUUUAUCGGUGAUGGAUGGGGAUGCGUCUGAUUAGCUUGUUGGCGGGGUAACGGCCCACCAAGGCGACGAUCAGUAGCCGGUCUGAGAGGAUGAACGGCCACAUUGGGACUGAGACACGGUCCAAACUCCUACGGGAGGCAGCAGUGAGGAAUAUUGGUCAAUGGACGGAAGUCUGAACCAGCCAAGUAGCGUGCAGGAUGACGGCCCUAUGGGUUGUAAACUGCUUUUAUGUGGGAAUAAAGUCAGGGACGUGUCCCUGUUUGCAUGUACCACAGGAAUAAGGACCGGCUAAUUCCGUGCCAGCAG